rnacentral:lncRNA from 1 species
GGGACUUACGUCGUGGCUGCGAAGAGGAGAAGCUCUCAAAGAGGAGGACUCCCGAUCAGGGUUGGUGCUCGCCCUCGCUCACCUCACCCCCGGCCCCAGCUCCGGCCCUGGCCCCUGCGCCAUAUAGAAGACGAGCUGAUCCAGAAGGCCAAGAUGGCCAAGCAGGCCAAGUGCUACGAUGACAUGGCCACCUGCAUGAAGGCCAUGACCGAGCAGGGCGCCGAGCUCCAAUGAGGAGCACAACCUGCUCUUGGUGGCCUACAAGAACAUGGUUGGGUAUUGCAGGUCCGCCUGAAGGGUCAUCUUGAGCAUCAAGCAGAAGACCUAUACCUCCAACAAGAAGUUGCAGCUGAUUAAGGAAAAUUGGGAGAAAGUAAAGUCCGAGUGGAGGUCAAUCUGCACCACGGUCCUGGAAUUGUUGGAUAAGAAUUUAAUAGCCAAUGCAACUACUCCAGAAAGUAAGGUCUUCUAUCUGAAAAUGAAAGAGGAUUACUUCUGGUACCUUGCUGAAGUUGCAUGUGGUGAUGAUCGGAAACAAAUGAUAGAUAAUUCCCAAGGAGCUUACCAAGAGGCAUUUGAUAUAAGCAAGAAAGAGAUGCAACCCCCACACACCCAAUCUGCCUGGCGCUGGCUCUUAACUUUUCUGUAUUUCACUAUGAGAUCCUUAAUAAUAGAGAUUAUUAUAUUAUUAUUAAAAAUAGAGAUUAUUAUAUUAUUAUAAUAUAUAUUAUAUUAUUAUAUCUGUUAAUAAUAGAUCCUUAAAAAUAGAGCUUAUCUGCACACUGGCUAAAACGGCUUUUGAUGAGGACAUUGCAGAACUUGAUACACUGAAUGAAGAUGCAUACAAGGACAGCAUCAUCAUCAUGCAGUUGCUUAGAGACAACUUAACAUUAUGGACAUCAGACAGUGCAGGAGAAGAAUGUGAUGAAGCAGAGGGGGCUGAAAUCUAAAUGCAAACAGGGUGUCAUCCUCCUUCCCUCAAGAAACCUUUUUACUCUAUUCCUUAUUCUACUGGAUUUCCUAUAGCAAAGAAAACCAUUCAUGCGUAUGGAAUCAACUGUUUAUAGUCUUUUCACACUGCAGCUUUAGGAAAACUCCAUUCCUUGAUUUAUGUUUGUCUUGGCCUUCCUGGUGUGCAGUUACUGCUGUAGAAAAGUAUUAAUACCUUUAUUUCAUAUAAACAUAAGUAAUUCCAAACGCUUAGUAGAGGACCAAAAACAUAUCUGGCAUUUAAAUAAUCUGAACCAGUUCUAAAAGUGACUGUGUUUUGUGUUACUGUGAAGAUAAGAAAAUGUAGUUAAUUGCAAUUUAAAGAGUGUUUUAUAUGACUUCUUAAUUUCUACAUUCUCUUCCUUAUUCUUCUUUGAGGGUUUCUUUUCAGUAAGCAACCUUUCUACACUCUUACUGUAUUCCUGUUUAGUAGGAAUCCAGAAGUAUUAGAUGGAAUGGGAAAGCACUUGACAUUUCCUGGCUGGCGGGGGCACAAAUUGAAAUGCCUCCUGUAUAUCACAUGUUGUGGAGGUCAUGUCCAUCUGUGAUAACAGGGAGUUUCCUUAUUCACUCAUCAUUUGCUGCUGUUUAAGUUGACAAUUUCCCUUCCCAAUAAAAAUUCACUUACACUUCCAAAAAAGAAAAAAGAAA